AACCAGCACCUCGAGUGGUCAGGAGGUUUAUUGGGCCUAAAGCAUCCGUAGCCGGUUGCAUAAGUUUUCGGUUAAAUCUAUGCGCUCAACGUAUAGGCCGCCGAAAAUACUGUGCAGCUAGGGAGUGGGAGAGGUACACGGUACUCAAUAGGAAGGGGUAAAAUCCUUUGAUCUAUUGAUGACCACCUGUGGCGAAGGCGGUGUACCAGAACACGUUCGACGGUGAGGGAUGAAAGCUGGGGGAGCAAACCGG
rnacentral:rRNA from 3 species